AGUCUUAUAUUCAACAAUGAUUUUAAAUUGCAAAUUUAAAGGUGGAUAUAUCCUAAGGCUU
rnacentral:tRNA from 1 species